rnacentral:rRNA from 1 species
AGCGAACGCUGGCGGCAGGCCUAACACAUGCAAGUCGAACGAUCCUUCGGGAUAGUGGCGGACGGGUGAGUAACACGUGGGAACGUACCUUUAGGUUCGGGAUAACUCAGGGAAACUUGAGCUAAUACCGGAUAAGCCCUUUUGGGGAAAGAUUUAUCGCCUUUAGAGCGGCCCGCGUUAGAUUAGCUAGUUGGUGAGGUAAAGGCUCACCAAGGCUCCGAUCUAUAGCUGGUCUGAGAGGAUGAUCAGCACACUGGGACUGAGACACGGCCCAGACUCCUACGGGAGGCAGCGGUGGGGAAUCUUGCGCAAUGGGCGAAGGCCUGACGCAGCCAUGCCGCGUGAAUGAUGAAGGUCUUAGGAUUGUAAAAUUCUUUUAGCAGGGACGAUAAUGACGGUACCUGCAGAAAAAGCCCCGGCUAACUUCGUGCCAGCCGCCGCCGUAAAAC